rnacentral:rRNA from 1 species
UACGUAGGGGACAAGCGUUAUCCGGAUUUACUGGGUGUAAAGGGAGCGUAGGCGGCCAGACAAGUCAGAAGUGAAAGCCCGCGGCUCAACUGCGGGACUGCUUUUGAAACUGCCUGGCUAGAGUACUGGAGGGGUAAGCGGAAUUCCUGGUGUAGCGGUGAAAUGCGUAGAUAUCAGGAAGAACACCGGAGGCGAAGGCGGCUUACUGGACAGAGACUGACGCUGAGGCUCGAAGGCGUGGGGAGCAAAC